GAUUUCUGACUUGUAACACCAGGUCCAUCCGUAAGGGUGCGUAUUUGGUUGUUCGGGUCAUCCUUCCGAUGAGUACCAUUGCCCUUCACUGGGUUGGUGGUGCGCCAUCGGAUCUUUUACUUUGAAAAAAUUAGAGUGUUCAAAGCAGGCAUUUAGCUGUGAAUACAUUAGCAUGGAAUAAUAAGAUAGGACUCCGGUUUUAUUUUGUUGGUUUCUAGGACUAGAGUAAUGAUUGAUAGGGAUAGUUGGGGGUGCUAGUAUUCAACGGCCAGAGGUGAAAUUCUAUGAUUCGUUGAAGACUAACUUAUGCGAAAGCAUU
rnacentral:rRNA from 1 species